UGCGUAGGCGGCGCGGUAAGUCGGGUGUGAAAUCUCGGAGCUUAACUCCGAAACUGCAUUCGAUACUGCCGUGCUUGAGGACUGGAGAGGAGACUGGAAUUUACGGUGUAGCGGUGAAAUGCGUAGAUAUCGUAAGGAAGACCAGUGGCGAAGGCGGGUCUCUGGACAGUUCCUGACGCUGAGGCACGAAGGUCAGGGGAGCAAAC
rnacentral:rRNA from 1 species